UGACACUUCAAAUCGUAUCCUUCCCUUAUAAUAUACAACUAGGAACUAUUUUGCAUGAAAGAAGGGAAGUCGUCAUUGACUUGAGAGCACAUGGUAUACAUGGCCUUCCGGGUCGUCCUGCAAUUGAUAUCAGAGGUUGUCUCUGGGUGCCCCUUUAUGGAGGUUCGAGAGUCAUUGAAAUUGAUCCACAUACUAGAAGAGUUCUUCGAUCUGUAAACAUACCUGCAGCCAGAGUCAGUGCGUGCACUUUUGGAGGUUCUGAAUUGGAUACUUUAUAUGUUUCGACAAUAGGAUAUGGUUACCAAGAUCCUCGAGAACG